GCUUCUCACCAUGAUGAUAGUGGACUACACCUUUGAAACUGAUGAAAUAUUAAGGACUUGAAGAACAGCUCAUAAGACAAACAACUGCCAGAAGUCAAGAUGAACACAUGUGAGACUUAGUGAUCAAUUUGGGAACAAAGUAAAUGUCGGAAAAGAUGGAGUUACUGGCUAGAAGGAGUAGGAGGAAGAGGCUUCUUUGAAGCUGAAACAAGAAAAAGAGAAAAAGAAGAUGAGCACCGAACCCCAGGCUUUCAGAGAAAAGAGGCCCAAGGAGACGAGCGAAGAAAAGGGGCGGAGGUGAUGAAAUACAGACACCAGAAUCAGCCUUACCAGGCCCGUCUUUCAUCUUUCCCACUUUCUAGUUUCCAAUUCUCCUUCCUAGAAGACAUUAGAGACUUCCAAAGGCCAGUAUUUUGGGAUUUUUGUGUCCCCUGUCUGGGAAGGGGCCAAGAUUUGGGCUCUUCUUUGCAAGUAGAGAGACUUCCAUGAAUACAUAUGUCACCUUCUCAGGAGUGGGAAUGUGUGACUCAGAGACAGUGACUCACUGCCUUCCUGAUGCCACUGUGGGCUUGAUGAGGUGGGAGGGUACUGUGCUGAGUGGGCUGAGGUCUGCUUUUAGUUGCCUUAAGGCAUUUAAAUACAUAUUCUCGAUGCCUCA